rnacentral:rRNA from 3 species
CGGCGAUACCCGAAUGGGGAAACCCAGUGUGAUUCGUCACACUAUCAUUAACUGAAUCCAUAGGUUAAUGAGGCGAACCGGGGGAACUGAAACAUCUAAGUACCCCGAGGAAAAGAAAUCAACCGAGAUUCCCCCAGUAGCGGCGAGCGAACGGGGAGGAGCCCAGAGCCUGAAUCAGCAUGUGUGUUAGUGGAAGCGUCUGGAAAGGCGCGCGAUACAGGGUGACAGCCCCGUACACAAAAGCGCAUGUGCUGUGAGCUCGAUGAGUAGGGCGGGACACGUGGUAUCCUGUCUGAAUAUGGGGGGACCAUCCUCCAAGGCUAAAUACUCCUGACUGACCGAUAGUGAACCAGUACCGUGAGGGAAAGGCGAAAAGAACCCCGGCGAGGGGAGUGAAAAAGAACCUGAAACCGU